AUUGAACGCUGGCGGCAUGCUUUACACAUGCAAGUCGAACGGGGUGAGGAGCUUGCUCCUCAUCUAGUGGCGAACGGGUGAGUAAUACAUCGGAACGUACCGUGUAGUGGGGGAUAACGUAGCGAAAGUUACGCUAAUACCGCAUACGAUCCACGGAUGAAAGCAGGGGACCUUUCGGGCCUUGUGCUAUACGAGCGGCCGAUGUCUGAUUAGCUAGUUGGUGGGGUAAAGGCCCACCAAGGCAACGAUCAGUAGCGGGUCUGAGAGGAUGAUCCGCCACACUGGGACUGAGACACGGCCCAGACUCCUACGGGAGGCAGCAGUGGGGAAUUUUGGACAAUGGGCGCAAGCCUGAUCCAGCCAUGCCGCGUGUCUGAAGAAGGCCUCGG
rnacentral:rRNA from 1 species